rnacentral:tmRNA from 1 species
CUUUCGACAUUCCCUUGAAAUUCGGGCGGAUUGCCGCCAUAAUCGCCGCAUGGUUGUAACUCCGGCAAUCUGGAGGCGUUCUGGACAGGGGUUCGAUUCCCCUCACCUCCACCUAAGGGCAUCGGGGUGUUCUUAGGUGGGGGUGCACUGGCUUCGACAGGGCGGACAAAGGUGCGCAGGCAACCCGAAAGGCGACGAACGUAAUUCGCGCAAAUCCACAAACGCCAACGAUGAGCGUUUCGCACUGGCCGCCUAAGGCCUGUGCCGAGGCCGCAUUAGCCUUGUAACCAAAGAAAUGCCGGCGGGGACUUCGGUCCCCGUCGUCA